UACGUAGGGGGCAAGCGUUGUCCGGAAUCAUUGGGCGUAAAGCGCGUGUAGGCGGCUUGGUAAGUCUGCUCUGAAAGCCCGGGGCUCAACCCCGGGAGGCGGGUGGAUACUGUCAAGCUCGAGUCCGGAAGAGGAGUGUGGAAUUCCUGGUGUAGCGGUGAAAUUCGUAGAUAUUAGGAAGAACACCGGUGGCUAAGGCGGCCCACUGGUCCGGUACUGACGCUGAGGUGCGAAAGCGUGGGGAGCAAACAGG
rnacentral:rRNA from 1 species